UACGGAGGGUGCGAGCGUUGUCCGGAAUCACUGGGCGUAAAGGGCGCGCAGGCGGCUGCUCAAGUCAGGCGUGAAAGGCCUGGGCUCAACCCGGGAAUUGCGCUUGAGACUGGGCUAGCUAGAGUGUGGUAGGGGAGAUCGGAAUUCCUGGUGUAGCGGUGAAAUGCGCAGAUAUCAGGAGGAACACCGGUGGCGAAGGCGGAUCUCUGGGCCAUUACUGACGCUGAGGAGCGAAAGCGUGGGGAGCGAACAGG
rnacentral:rRNA from 1 species